rnacentral:rRNA from 1 species
AUUGAACGCUGGCGGCAUGCCUAACACAUGCAAGUCGAACGGUAACGCAAGAAGCUUGCUUCUUGGCGACGAGUGGCGGACGGGUGAGUAAUGCUUAGGAAUCUGCCCAGUAGUGGGGGACAACUCGGGGAAACUCGAGCUAAUACCGCAUACGCCCUACGGGGGAAAGUGGAGGAUCUUCGGACUUCACGCUAUUGGAUGAGCCUAAGUCGGAUUAGCUUGUUGGUGGGGUAAAGGCCUACCAAGGCGACGAUCCGUAGCUGGUCUGAGAGGACGAUCAGCCACACUGGGACUGAGACACGGCCCAGACUCCUACGGGAGGCAGCAGUGGGGAAUAUUGGACAAUGGGGGCAACCCUGAUCCAGCAAUGCCGCGUGUGUGAAGAAGGCCUGCGGGUUGUAAAGCACUUUCAGUAGAGAAGAAAAGCUUAGGGUUAAUACCCCUGGGUCUUGACGUAACCUACAGAAGAAGCACCGGCUAACUCCGUG